GGCAGGGCAGAAUUACAUCACCUAAGGAGGAGCAUCUGCAAGAUUUUUUCUUCUCAAAGCACAGAUCCUAAAGUCAUUUCUCCCUGAGGAGGAAGGUAGCUUUCCUUGUGACUUAAUGGCCCAGCAUCCCUGGUGUAUCUUGUUGUUCUCUUGCAGGUGGCUGAAGCUGAGGUGAAAAGACUAUUACCAUAGGAAAGUACUUCAGCUAUCUGAAGCAAGCAGAACUCUGCUGGAGAUGGAUUUGGCCAAAAUAAAGAUUUGGGUCUGAGUUUC
rnacentral:lncRNA from 1 species